rnacentral:miRNA from 1 species
UGGACCAGGUCUAUAGUGGAGCA